GACGUAGGGCGCAAGCGUUGUCCGGAUUUAUUGGGCGUAAAGCGCUCGUAGGCGGCCUGUCGCGUCGACCGUGAAAACCCGCAGCUCAACUGCGGGCUUGCGGUCGAUACGGGCAGGCUGGAGUUCGGUAGGGGAGACUGGAAUUCCUGGUGUAGCGGUGAAAUGCGCAGAUAUCAGGAGGAACACCGGUGGCGAAGGCGGGUCUCUGGGCCGAUACUGACGCUGAGGAGCGAAAGCGUGGGGAGCGAACAGG
rnacentral:rRNA from 1 species